AUAUAUAGAGAGAGUUAGAUUAUUAUUCGCUUAUUGGUCUAAAGGGGUUAAUUAACAUUCUGCCCUACAUGGGAGACCAAAUUGAGCUGAAUCAAUAUUGAAACGAUAAGAGACCGAGUUGGCUCGAGUCAUGUUCGAACUGUCAUGAGGCUGGUUGGGCCGAGUCAUAAUCGAGAUUCGUGUGUGCUAUAUCUGUACAUUUUAAGUGAAUUAGUUGUGUAUUUCUAAAGGCUAGAGUUUUUAUAAUUAAUGGUUAGCGCCAAUGAUUCGGCAAUUGCAACAUUUAUAUAAACCUAAUUAUAUAUUGUUGUAUUUUUAUAUAUUUUUUAAAAC
rnacentral:lncRNA from 1 species